rnacentral:misc_RNA from 1 species
GAUGAAGAACGUAUCGAAAUGCGAUAAGUAAUGUGAAUUGCAGAACUCAGUGAAUCAUCGAAUCUUUGAACGCACAUUGCGCCCGCCAGCACUCUGGCGGGCAUGCCUGUCCGAGCGUCAUUUACCACCCUCGGGCCCCCUUGGGGGCCCGGUGCUGGGGGCACGGCCCAGGCCGCCCCCGAAAUGCAGUGGCGACCCCGCCGCGUCCUCCCCUGCGCAGUAGCACAAUCUCGCACCGGAAGCGCGGAGGCGGUCACGCCUGGAAACGCCCCAACUCAACGCAGUUGACCUCGGAUCAGGUAGGAGUACCCGCUGAACUUAAGCAUAUCAAUAAGCGGAGGA